CCGAGUGAGGGCCCCCGGCCCGACCUCCAACCCUUUGUUCAUCCGACCCCGUUGCCUCGGGGGUCACCGGCGCUCUCGGGCGCCGGGCCCCCGGUGGACCCCCCAACUCUGUAUCUUUUGCGUCCGAGUCAACCGUAAAUUAAACA
rnacentral:misc_RNA from 1 species